UCAGGCUUGUAUGCUGUCCAGGUGCUCAUUUCUGCAACUUUGAUUAUUUACAGUACUCCCUCCCUAAAGAAAACUACCUGAACUCAGAAAACUGUUUAGAAAAGGUUCAGGCGAAGGAAGUGUGAGGGCUAGGGGAAAGGAUAGAAGGGAAUGGGAUUAAUAUGAGAAAAUGGAAAAAUAGGAACAAAAUCUUUGUAAAUAGGGAGGACUGGAGGGGUUGAAGGGAGGGCUGGGCAAGGGUGAAAAAUAAGAACCAAGAGAGAAUAUGUAAAGGUACAAAUUUCCAAUGAUGAAUGUCAUUAUAUUGUAUACCUAAAAUGUACCAAUGAUUAGAAUGAAUAAUCGAUAAUGUAGAAAAGGUUCAGGAAAAAAAAAAGAUUAAUAAGUCUUGGGAAUAACAGUCUUUCUCUGCAUGUCCCUUACAGAUAUGUUGGCUGUGAUUAAAUCCUUCAGAAAAGACUGUUCUUUGACCAAAUGGAGUUCCUGGCUACUCAGAAUGAAUUGUAGUGAAAGAGGGAAGCUCAGAACAAAGAAUACACAAUGUGAUCACGGGGCUAUUUGGGAACUCAAGAAUUGCACUGCAGGUUCAACCGUUCUAUGUUCUUCCUGGCGUAUCUCCUGUGGUUUUGGGUGCAGAAGGAAAGAAUUUUGAAAAACUGAAGAUGAAUGUCUGUUUGUUGCUCACAGUGUAAAACAAGUAGCAUAGCAUGGCAAGAUACUUCAACUUGAUAAACUUCUAUUUCCUCGAUUGAGAUAUCAAAGUUAUACUGAGUAAACUGAAUCAUUGAAAGUGACCAGUUGAGUUUCAAAAUAUUGCAGAAAGAACUGUGGACAUAGUUUUUUUUAAAUUUUUAAUUUAUUUUUAUUUUUAU
rnacentral:lncRNA from 1 species